rnacentral:rRNA from 1 species
GACGAACGCUGGCGGCGUGCUUAACACAUGCAAGUCGAACGGUGAAGGGGUUUGUAUUUCUGGGCCCUGGAUGAGUGGCGAACGGGUGAGUAACACGUCAGUAACCUGCCCCCUUCUUCUGGAUAACCGCAUGAACGUGUGGCUGAUACGGGAUGUUCUGGGUCUGUCGCAUGAUGGAUCUGGGAAAGCUUGCGCCUAUGGGGGUAUUGGGUGGGGGAUGGGCUCGCGGCCUAUGAGCUUGUUGGUGGGGUGAUGGCCUACGAAGGCGGUGACGGGUAGCCGGCCUGAGAGGGUGGACGGUCACACUGGGACUGAGACACGGCCCAGACUCCUACGGGAGGCAGCAGUGGCGAAUAUUGCACAAUGGGCGCAAGCCUGAUGCAGCGACGCCGCGUGAGGUAUGGAGGCCUUCGGGUUGUAAACCUCUUUCGCCAGUGAAGCAGGCCUGCUCAUUGUGGGUGGGUUGACGGUAGCUGGAUAAGAAGCGCCGGCUAACUACGUG